rnacentral:rRNA from 1 species
UCCUUCUCGCAGUGACGCUUAUGAGAAGCCUUUGUGGCCCCGCAAGGGGUACUAACCGCGACUGUAAAUAAGAAUGUUGGUAUUAAAUCGCAAGUCAGUUCAAGCUGGCUACACUUUCGAAUUGCGGGGACACCCUAAAGCCUGCCCCUACCAAACCGGCGAGGAAACUCAGCUGGUGGCCUAUGCUAACACCAUAGGGUAUGGUAAGAAUGGAGCAGGAUAGGUAAUAUGGGUAAUCCGCAGCCAAGUCCCUAAGGCUUAUAGCUAUGGGAAAGGUUCACAGACUAAGUGGAAGUGGGCCAAGAGCAGGUAGCUCUGGCUUAAGAUAUAGUCGGUCCCUACAAGAAAUUGUAGGGGAGUCACCGGAUUCGGUUUGAAUCUGUCUGCUAAAUAAACGUUCCGUAGGUGAACCUGCGGAAGGAUCAUUACAAAUGAAUCAAAAGCUGUUGUAGGUCUCCUGCACGGCUGCCUGCGUGUGCUUUGCAUGCCUAGGUUUCAACCCAUUGUGAAUCAAAAUCUUUCAGCUUCGGUAGCAUGCCAGAUGGGGCAACCCAACUGCGCAGUCAGCCUGCCGGCAGCACCAAUAUAAACCCAAGUUAAUAACCUUCUGUCUGAAAAUCAUUUACGAAUGAAUUAAAACUUUCAACAACGGAUCUCUUGGUUCUCGCAUCGAUGAAGAACGCAGCGAAACGCGAUAGUUAAUGUGAAUUGCAGAAUUCAGUGAAUCAUCGAGUCUUUGAACGCACAUUGCGCCCCCUGGUAUUCCGGCGGGCAUGUCUGUUUGAGCGUCAUUUCAACCCUCAUGUAGUUGACUUUGUCAGCCGGCAUGGUGUUGGGCUCUGACCGGUCUUAGUUGACAGGCAGGCCUUAAAGUUGAAAGCUCUGCUGGUGACUUAAACCAAACCGAACAUAGUAAUUUUUCUUGUUCAGCGUAGGUAAAGUACAUCAAGCCUGAACAAAAACCCAUUCUAAGGUUUGACCUCAGAUCAGAUAAGGAUACCCGCUGAACUUAAGCAUAUCAAUAAGCGGAGGAAAAGAAACCAACAGGGAUUGCCUUAGUAACGGCGAGUGAAGCGGCAACAGCUCAAAUUUGAAAUCUGGAGUUUUCAACUUCCGAAUUGUAAUUUGAAGAGGAUGUUUCGGUUAUGACCAUGGCCUAAGUUCUUUGGAACAGGACGUCACAGAGGGUGAGAAUCCCGUACGUGGCUGAUGGUUUAUUUCCAUGUGAAACUCCUUCGAAGAGUCGAGUUGUUUGGGAAUGCAGCUCUAAAUGGGUGGUAAAUUUCAUCUAAAGCUAAAUACUGGCGAGAGACCGAUAGCGCACAAGUAGAGUGAUCGAAAGAUGAAAAGCACUUUGAAAAGAGAGUUAAACAGUACGUGAAAUUGUUGAAAGGGAAGCGCUUGCAAUCAGACUUGCCUGCGGUUGAUCAACGUUCCUUUUGGUGCGUGCACUCUGCCGUUUGCAGGCCAGCAUCGGUUAGGGCGGUGGGACAAAGACUCCAGGAAUGUGGCUCUCUUCGGGGAGUGUUAUAGCCUGGUGUGUAAUGCCACCUAUCCUGACCGAGGACCGCGCGUAAGCUAGGAUGCUGGCUUAAUGGUUGUAAGCGACCCGUCUUGAAACACGGACCAAGGAGUCUAACAUCUAUGCGAGUGUUUGGGUGUAAAACCCAUGCGCGUAAUGAAAGUGAACGGAGGUGGGAGUUCUCACGAAUGCACCAUCGACCGAUCCUGAUGUUCUCGGAUGGAUUUGAGUAGGAGCAUAGCUGUUGGGACCCGAAAGAUGGUGAACUAUGCCUGAAUAGGGUGAAGCCAGAGGAAACUCUGGUGGAGGCUCGCAGCGGUUCUGACGUGCAAAUCGAUCGUCAAAUUUGGGUAUAGGGGCGAAAGACUAAUCGAACCAUCUAGUAGCUGGUUCCUGCCGAAGUUUCCCUCAGGA